UCCUUUUUCUAGAUCCAAGAAAGCAAGCUCUUUGAUGGAACCGACCUCUUUCAAAAAUUAUAUUUAUAUUUGGCAAAGCCAAUUAAGAAACAAAGUAGAAGAAAGUGCUGAUUACUGCUGCAGUACUGUGCACAAAAACUUGCACACAUUAAUUUAAAAGCUAAAUUUGUUUUAGCUUCAUCUCUUUCCUUUUGAAUGUCUGUGAACGCUGGGUAUUCACUUAACUCACACAACUGCUCAUGGAAGAGAAAUGUUAAUUUCAAAUACCUGGGGAGAAUUUAUUAUACUUGGGCAUGCACAUGCUUCUGACUGAAGCUGCUAUCACUUACACAUAACGGUUUAUUCUUUGCUUCUGCCAAACAUCCAGCUAUGCCAAACUAAUGAUUAAAUAUUAACAACUUAAGUGAACAUAACUAAUUAUGACCGUUGCACAACUAAAUCUGAUUUAUUUUUUUCAGAACAAUUGCCUUAACUCCUAGAACACAAAGAAAGGCAAGCUAGAAAGGUAGUUGGAACUUCAGUUUUUCCUUUUUGGAGUUACUUGGGACUGAAGCUCUUCAGUUUAAAUGUGAAAGUUGCAUUUUUCUGGACACUGGUUUUGUGGUACUGACUGCAGCUGCCAUGAACAGAGGAACAUGAAGAGUGGUGUAUAUAACGGAGCCAUAAACAGAGACAUCACUGUGGAACUAGCUGCCUGGCAAGGGGUUUUCAGACUGCAUACCCUUUUCAGUCAUGCUCAGAAUUCUUGUCCUGUGAGCCCGUCCAGGAUCCAGCAAGGUACCUGUGAACAGAAAGGGAAAUGUGACCAUCCCAGCAUGCAGCCUGUUACUGGCCUCUCAGAAAACUUCUUGGGGCACAGGACCAAUUCGACAUGGGUCUUUGUAGUGUGUAAACAGAGAAUGCUGUUGCUCCAGCUUGUCCUCUGCAGGAAAAGAACAAGACCAAGAAAAAGCACAUCAGUCAUACAUUGUUAAACCUGUGGAUAACUGCAUGUUCUGCCACAAAA